UUGAACGCUGGCGGCAUGCUUUACACAUGCAAGUCGAGCGGCAGCGCGGGGGCAACCCUGGCGGCGAGCGGCGAACGGGUGAGGAAUACAUCGGAACGUGCCCGAGAGUGGGGGAUAACGCCGCGAAAGCGGCGCUAAUACCGCAUAUUCUCUGAGGAGGAAAGUGGGGGACCGCAAGGCCUCACGCUCACGGAGCGGCCGAUGUCGGAUUAGCUAGUUGGUGAGGUAAAGGCUCACCAAGGCGACGAUCCGUAGCUGGUCUGAGAGGAUGAUCAGCCACACUGGGACUGAGACACGGCCCAGACUCCUACGGGAGGCAGCAGUGGGGAAUUUUGGACAAUGGGGGCAACCCUGAUCCAGCCAUGCCGCGUGCGGGAAGAAGGCCUUCGGGUUGUAAACCGCUUUUAGUCGGGAAGAAAAGAUACGGGUUAAUACUCCGUGUUCUUGACGGUACCGGCGGAAUAAGCACCGGCUAACUACGU
rnacentral:rRNA from 1 species